AUCCCAUGGUGGGGACAUUGCCUCAAAAUCUCUUUAAAUCUUUCCCAAGCAUCAAAUAACAACGACUCACCAUAUCCUUGUCUAAAUUAAGUAAUUUAACUUCUCAUUUU